CACAAAUGAGACAAAACCCAGGAAGAUUAUUAGAAGGCUGACAGCCCACGUCAAAUAAAAGGUGUCCGCCACACCGCUGUUGUGAAAUUAAUAUUUCACGGCCUUCCAUUAAAGACAGCAUGGAGGUGUGUUGCCACUCACGCCGUGGUUGAUUUUAUAAACUGAGGGGCAUUUGUGACACUCGUCCUUCUCACUACGUGAGCGGGUGACGUAACUCAUGUAGAAUACAAAGAGUUACAUUGUUUUUUGUUAAAGCUCAAACAUGACAGACACAAGCCUUUCCAAAGGAAGUAAGGAAGCAACGCAGCAACAUCGGAGGAGCCAUGCAAGGGAGCAAGUGGAGAGCUGUGAAAUGUGGCAAUGUAAACUGCGCACCAGAGGAAUCUACCGAGUGUGGGCCCACCACUCGUUGGGACAGGAAUUGGGUCAGGUCCCUGUCUCUGGGGACGUGGAAUGUCACCUCUCUGCUGGGGAAGGAAUCGGAGACGGAGAGGAAACAGGUGAUUGGACACAGCAGACAAUCACACUCACAGGGGGAAAACACACCAGGGAAGGAAGUGAAGAUUAACCCGCAAACACCAAAGGCAGGAAACGACAAAAUAAAACAGGAAAUGAUCCAACACUGGCACACAUACUUAAGCUACCCCGGAGAGGUGAAGCAAUCCAAAGUAGACAAAUCCUUCACAACCAGUGUGCCACGCCGAGAGAAUAUUCCAAAAAAGAGCAUAGAAGUGACAAUGACGAAUGGCCUAUUUGCCAUCGGGAGCAUCAGGACAUUUUGUGGCGUAUGUUGAUCCCAAUUAAUAUUCUACUGCUCCACUUUUUACCUUCAGUGAGAAAACGUGUUUAUUUUAAAACUAAUAACAUUCGUGAUGUAUGCAUUGCUCCACAUUCCUUCAAAAUGUGACCUUCUCUUACCAAACGACACCAAAGGGGUGUCUCAUUGUUAGGAUACAUAGCCAUGAAUCAUUAGGCCUGCACAGACGUCUGUAAUCUAAUGUAAUAAAGUAUAAUGGUGCACUCCGGCCCCGAGGUCAGUCACUGUGCAAAGUCUCACUGUUGUGCAGUCAAGUGCAAACAGCCUCCCUCUGGACUGCAGCACUAGGGUUCGGCUCACUUCAAAGGCGACGCAGACACCAUCUUUUCCAUACGGACAAAGGAUUUUCAGUGAUGGAAUAGUAAAUGCACUUCAUACUGGAGGAGAACGCAUAACGAGGAGGAACUUUUGAGUUGUUGAAUUUUGGUGGCUAAUAUAGAAAAUGCCCUUUUUAGCUUUGAUGUGGGUAAUUUUCCCAGUCCCAAAAGCACAAGAUGAGAUGGGUCCAUCACCAGUUCCACAUAAGUAAAUCACACAAGGCCAUCCCCAUUUGUGAAGGUAGGAUUUAAUGUUGGACAAUAUUGGCCAUUACUAAGGACAUAAUGCAUUCUCAGUCACAAUAACAUUUAAAUGAAGCUGCACUGGGUUGGCAUUCUUUGAACUCACUUACACAUGAUGAUAAACUGGAGCUGCAUUAGAGAUUAAAUGUGCCAGGGAAAUUACCCAAACCUGUUUUAUAUAUAAAUGAUCACACACCAGUUGGCUGGUAAAAAAUGCUGCUGUUUACUGAUGUCUAAUGAUUAUUUAAUUCGGGGACUUCGGGGAUCCAAUCAGUUACUUGGGGAGUUGUAAAUGUUCAAACGUAGUCAAUGCGGCUUUACUUAUUAGCGACAUGUCGAAUGCUUUGCACAUAUAGUGA
ensembl:lncRNA